AGCAGUAGCCGCGGGAAUACAGAGGGUGCGAGCGUUAAUCGGAUUUACUGGGCGUAAAGCGUGCGUAGGCGGCUUUUUAAGUCGGAUGUGAAAUCCCUGAGCUUAACUUAGGAAUUGCAUUCGAUACUGGGAAGCUAGAGUAUGGGAGAGGAUGGUAGAAUUCCAGGUGUAGCGGUGAAAUGCGUAGAGAUCUGGAGGAAUACCGAUGGCGAAGGCAGCCAUCUGGCCUAAUACUGACGCUGAGGUACGAAAGCAUGGGGAGCAAACAGGAUUAGAUACCCCGGUAGUCCCUGUCUCUUAUAA
rnacentral:rRNA from 1 species